rnacentral:lncRNA from 1 species
GUGGAGGGCACACGGCAGACCCUGGCAGGUGUGCCCCGAGAGCUGGCCUCUAGCGGCCAACAGAGGGAGCGGCUUCACCCUGUGGGUGCGACACCGAGGGCGGGAGGUGUCCCAGAGAGCGGCCUGUGGAUGCCAUGCUUCCCAGAACCUGUGAAUGUGCCUGCUGAUCCCAUAAAAUCGCAGCGAAAUGGCUUGAACCAUGAUCACCAGGCAAUACGGCGAGAAAUUAAGAACAAAAUAGAAACAGGGAAGGGUCCUCCUCAGGAACAUUUUCGAACUCUACCAAACAACUCUUGAACCAAAAGGAGCCCAAAACAUAAUCACGAGAGCACUUUGUGUGAGAAUCUAUGAAACGCACUCACAGCCGUGUAGACAGGAAAAUCUGUACUUUUUCAUAUUCGUAUCAGUAAAAACAUGAACGAAAGAGUUGAAGUUCUCAAUGGAAAGAGAAAAAAGAACGACAAAGGACAACAAAGGAAAUAACAAAACAAUCACGAAAUGACGAAGGAAAGUACCAGAAAAAGACAAGCAGAAAAGGGGUGUGCCGGGCCCCCCGGCCCCCCUGUGGGACACCCCCGCCCCCCAGGGUCAGCCGUUAGAGCUACAGUAAAAGUAGAAAAGCCACCCCGUCCGGUCCUCGUGUUGGGCACAGAUCAAACGCGUGACACACAGGACAGCACGUAAACCACACGGCAGCCGAGGACAGCUGCGGCUUCGGGAGACAGAGAGCCCACACCAGGGUCCACACUGCAGCCAGCACAGCCGAGUGCUGGCCCAGGGGUCUGGUUCCCAGCCCAGUGGGCUGCCCCCUCCCGCCCUGGGAGCCUGAGCCGGACCCGGGUCCACUAUCCCUCCUCUGCAUCUCCCUGCGUUUUACGCGUUUCUGAAGCUCUGGCUUCUGGGGCCUUGCUGACCUGCAGGGACUGUCCCCUUCCCGCCGCCC